UUUGUUUGUGUAAAUUUAAAAGCUUUUUGUUUUGUACCAGCAAGUUGUCAAUAUACCAGGCAAUUAAACUAAUACUGUCACAUUAUCCAUUGUUUUAAUAAUUAUACAUUUGUCAACACAACUUAAAGUUUCAAUUGACAAUUUAGUCAUUUUUUCCCAUUUUAAACCAUUGAAUGGUCCAGCUUGUUUACUUUCUGACACAUAAUUCAUUUAUUGUAAAGUUGCUUCAAUUCAAUCAUCAUUUCUAUAGUUGAGAAUGAUAUAUUUUACUAAUAAGUACCAAGUCUUUCUUUAAAAAAUAUACUAUUUGAAAAUAAAGUGUUUUGAACAGAAG